GAUGAAGAACGCAGCGAAAUGCGAUAAGUAAUGCGAAUUGCAGAAUUCAGUGAGUCAUCGAAUCUUUGAACGCACAUUGCGCCCCCUGGUAUUCCGGGGGGCAUGCCUGUCCGAGCGUCAUUACAACCCUCAAGCUCAGCUUGGUGUUGGGCCCCGCCGCCCCGGCGGGCCCUAAAGUCAGUGGCGGUGCCGUCCGGCUCCGAGCGUAGUAAUUCUUCUCGCUCUGGAGGCCCGGUCGUGUGCUCGCCAGCAACCCCCAAUUUUUUUCAGGUUGACCUCGGAUCAGGUAGGGAUACCCGCUGAACUUAAGCAUAUCAAUAAGCGGAGGA
rnacentral:misc_RNA from 1 species